rnacentral:rRNA from 1 species
UACGGAGGGUGCGAACGUUAAUCGGAAUCACUGGGCGUAAAGCGCGCGUAGGCGGUUUGUUAAGUGGGAGGUGAAAUCCCCGGGCUUAACCUGGGAAUUGCAUUUCAAACUGGCCGACUAGAGUACGGUAGAGGGAGGUAGAAUUUCCUGUGUAGCGGUGAAAUGCGUAGAUAUAGGAAGGAAUACCAGUGGCGAAGGCGGCCUCCUGGAUCGAUACUGACGCUGAGGCGCGAAAGCGUGGGGAGCAAACAGG